GCCACCGUAAGGUGGAGAGGAAGGUGGGGAUGACGUCAAAUCAGCAGGCCCUUAUGUCCAGGGCUACACACGUGUUACAAUGGCCGGUACAGAGGGCAGCUACCUGGUGACAGGAUGCUAAUCCCGAAAGCCGGUCCCAGUUCGGAUUGGAGUCUGCAACCCGACUCCAUGAAGUUGGAUUCGCUAGUAAUCGCGCAUCAGCCAUGGCGCGGUGAAUACGUUCCCGGGCCUU
rnacentral:rRNA from 1 species